UAUCCCCUGCGGUGUUCGUGACGGUCAGUCAUUCUUUGAACCAAUGCAUUGAUGCACGGCUGCCGAGUUCGGAGACUGGUGUUCGCUUCAUCCCUGAAAGCGUCUAAAGGUCUCGUCAGGCGGCCAUUCUUGAACUCAGGUUCAAGAAUAUGACCGGACGGCACAGGCGGGGGGCCU
rnacentral:other from 1 species